GUGUCAGCAGCCGCGGUAAAACGUAGGGGGCGAGCGUUAUCCGGAUUUACUGGGCGUAAAGCGCGUGCAGGCGGCUGGGCAGGUUGGACGUGAAAGCUCCUGGCUCAACUGGGAGAGGUCGUUCAAUACCGCCCGGCUUGAGGGCGGAAGAGGGGAGUGGAAUUCCCGGUGUAGUGGUGGAAUGCGUAGAGAUCGGGAGGAACACCUGUGGCGAAAGCGGCUCCCUGGUCCGCACCUGACGCUCAGACGCGAAAGCGUGGGGAGCGAACGGGAUUAGAUACCCCUGUAGUCC
rnacentral:rRNA from 1 species